AUUCAGCUGACGAGUCCCGAAUAGCACGAAACGCGCAUCCUGGAU
rnacentral:hammerhead_ribozyme from 1 species